GAUGAACGCUGGCGGCGUGCCUAAUACAUGCAAGUCGAGCGAACGGACGAGAAGCUUGCUUCUUUGACGUUAGCGGCGGACGGGUGAGUAACACGUGGAUAACCUACCUAUAAGACUGGGAUAACUUCGGGAAACCGGAGCUAAUACCGGAUAAUAUUUUGAACCGCAUGGUUCAAAAGUGAAAGACGGCCUUGCUGUCACUUAUAGAUGGAUCCGCGCUGCAUUAGCUAGUUGGUAAGGUAACGGCUUACCAAGGCAACGAUGCAUAGCCGACCUGAGAGGGUGAUCGGCCACACUGGAACUGAGACACGGUCCAGACUCCUACGGGAGGCAGCAGUAGGGAAUCUUCCGCAAUGGGCGAAAGCCUGACGGAGCAACGCCGCGUGAGUGAUGAAGGUCUUCGGAUCGUAAAGCUCUGUUAUUAGGGAAGAACAUAUGUGUAAGUAACUGUGCACAUCUUGACGGUACCUAAUCAGAAAGCCACGGCUAACUACGUG
rnacentral:rRNA from 1 species